UACGGAGGAUCCGAGCGUUAUCCGGAUUUAUUGGGUUUAAAGGGUGCGUAGGCGGUUUGAUAAGUUAGAGGUGAAAUGUCGGGGCUCAACCCCGAAACUGCCUCUAAUACUGUUGGACUAGAGAAUAGUUGCGGUAGGCGGAAUGUAUGGUGUAGCGGUGAAAUGCUUAGAGAUCAUACAGAACACCGAUUGCGAAGGCAGCUUACCAGUCUGCGACUGACGCUCAGGCACGAAAGUGUGGGUAUCGAACAGG
rnacentral:rRNA from 1 species